CGGGGGCCCAAAAAGGUGACAGAUUGUGAAAAAGCAGCAGCACCGGAGCACGAUCUAUCUUCCUGUCGCUCCUCUACUAAAGCAAUUUGCCAACUGGUUUCGUCGGUUUUGCGUUUCGUCACUUGAACAGCAGACUUCCGCUGUAAUAAGAAAUGGUUUCCGUGAAAAAUGCAUGCUUCAAGCUGAAAAGUACCAUGCGUCUCCAUUAGUGUGUGUGUGGAGAGAGAAAACGGUGUUCAACAAAUUCGGUUACUUACGUUUCAUGAGGUCCGAAGUCGGUGGUACUGGCACUGUUUCGGCUGGCAUGUGGAGUAGGCAAACAAAAAGGAUCGAUUAGUAUAGAGGAAAGCAAAAAAUUACAACAAUAAUAAUUGCACCAAAAGUGUGGCCACCCAUCACCACCUAUCUCUACCGCCACCAUCACCACAAUAACAGUGUCUUUUCAGGGUUUUUUUUCGGCACUAAAACAUAGCUCUCCUAAUGCUUCUACGGAUUUACAAGACGAUUGGCGCAUGUUUUACUUCGUAUAUAGGAAACACAACACAAGCAAAGAUGAAAGUGGGGUAACAAGAGCAUGCAAAGAUGAGAAGGGAAGCCAGAAGACCAGAAUUAAAUUCGUUUCAUGCAUAAUUUAACAUCAAAAGCCAGUCCACUCGCUGCUCGAUAGGAGCAUGGAGGAGGAAAGCGUAACAA